rnacentral:rRNA from 1 species
CACGUAGGGGACGAGCGUUGUCCGGAUUCAUUGGGCGUAAAGCGCGCGUAGGCGGCUCGGAAAGUCGGUCGUGAAAUGCCGGGGCUCAACCCCGGGACUGCGUCCGAUACUCCCGAGCUGGAGGCAGGUAGGGGAGAUCGGAAUUCCUGGUGUAGCGGUGAAAUGCGCAGAUAUCAGGAGGAACACCGGUGGCGAAGGCGGAUCUCUGGGCCUUGCCUGACGCUGAGACGCGAAAGCGUGGGGAGCGAACAGG